rnacentral:rRNA from 1 species
UUAUGGUGGCGACCGGCGGACGGGUGCGUAACACGUAUCCAACCUGCCGAUGACUCGGGGAUAGCCUUUCGAAAGAAAGAUUAAUACCCGAUGGCAUAGUUCUUCCGCAUGGUAGAACUAUUAAAGGAUUUCGGUCAUCGAUGGGGAUGCGUUCCAUUAGGUUGUUGGCGGGGUAACGGCCCACCAAGACUACGAUGGAUAGGGGUUCUGAGAGGAAGGUCCCCCACAUUGGAACUGAGACACGGUCCAAACUCCUACGGGAGGCAGCAUG